UGGGGAAUAUUGCACAAUGGGCGCAAGCCUGAUGCAGCCAUGCCGCGUGUAUGAAGAAGGCCUUCGGGUUGUAAAGUACUUUCAGUCGGGAGGAAGGUGGUAAGGUUAAUAACCUUGGCAAUUGACGUUACCGACAGAAGAAGCACCGGCUAACUCCGUGCCAGCAGCCGCGGUAAUACGGAGGGUGCAAGCGUUAAUCGGAAUUACUGGGCGUAAAGCGCACGCAGGCGGUUGAUUGAGUCAGAUGUGAAAUCCCCGGGCUUAACCCGGGAAUUGCAUCUGAUACUGGUCAGCUAGAGUCUUGUAGAGGGGGGUAGAAUUCCAGAUGUAGCGGUGAAAUGCGUAGAGAUGUGGAGGAAUACCGGUGGCGAAGGCGGCCCCCUGGACAAAGACUGACGCUCAGGUGCGAAAGCGUGGGGAGCAAACAGG
rnacentral:rRNA from 1 species